GGAUUGAACUCGGGUUCUUGCACUUACACAGCAGGCAGCGAAACCACUGAGCUAAAUCCUCGGCCCCAGAGGCUAAGUCUUAAAGGUUCUAAUAUGUUAUCUCACCUAGGAGUCACCUGUUUGAAGCCUUAGAACUGUUCCUUCAAGAUGUCCUCUAGAUGUAGCUUUUCCAUGCCUGUGGACAGUUACUGUCCCUCCAGGCCCUUCCUGCCUCAAGCCCAGCAUACUGAAGUACUCAAGAAUGGUUUCCAUACCACCAGCCACCCCUGCCCUACCUGACAGACGUAGGUUCCUUGAAGGCCACUGGAUUUUACCCACAUCCUUACUCACAAGGGUACAAUGGCUGGCGAUCUGUACUAAUUCUGACUGCCUCUAUGUGGCUUCCAGGCCUUCCAUAACCUGCCCCAGGGCGCUGGCGCCCCAUAGGCAGGUUGGUCUCAUCACCCUCUCUGGGUACUACUACUCAGUGACCCCUGAGUAUCUGUGCUUGAGCAAUGUCCUUCUCAUUCCUCUGUCUAUCCCAGUCCUGUUCCACAGUCAAGACCAGAGUAUGCAUACAUUGAGCACUCCAUCCCCUCACUACUCUGCUCUGCUCUUUCCAACCUGCUACUACUGUUUUGUUCCUUUCCAUAUGUGGGAGCACUUCCUUACUCAUGCCUGUGUGUUUGUUAUGCACUGAUGCCUCAUAAGAGUUGGAACUACCUUUUACACAUAGUUGUUGUGGCUGCUAAUGCUGUUUUCAAACCACCUCAGGUUUCCUGAGGCUUUAUGAUAUACCAGGCAAGAUGCCAAGUGUUUAAUACACAACAUUUCAUGUAAUCCUAACAACAACUAUUUGAAAUACAUAUAGUUUUUACUUAGCAGAUGAGUAAAGGCCUGGCUCAGAGAGAACAAGUACUUGCCCAAUGCCACACUGUGGUUAAUUGUAGAAGUGGAUUCAAACCCAGGUAGCUUGACAUUAGAGCCUUUGUUUUCAAUUCCUAUACCUUCAGCCUCCUUGGGGAAUCCAUCAGCAAAGCUACUUUAUGGGUAAGAAGAUGAAGUCUGACUUCCCUUUCUUCAACGCAAAAAAAUGAAAAUCUAGCUUACUUAUCUCCUACAUCAAGGUUUUGUGUAAAACUAUGUUUGGAAAAAUGGUUCCAGCUACUUUUUAAAAAAAGUUUGAACUAUUAGCAUGUAAUCCAGGAAUAUACCUCAAAAUACAAAGACUUAAACACCAAAGAACAGGUCUUGCUAGGUAAGAGUAUGAAGAACCUGCAGUAUGAGGCCAUCAACCUCAUCUUUCUCACUGACACCCAUAUUCCAAAUGAGGAACAGGAUAUACACUAGUGGGUCCUCAAUAAAUAAAAGUUCACUGACUGAAUAAAGAACUGAUAAAGCACUCCUGGGAAGGUAUGAAACUGCUUUUCCUAAAGAGAGUUAAAAAUAAAUAUUGUCACUUGUCUUAGGUGGCUGGGGUUGAAUUUCACUCGGAGGCAGGAAGAAUCCCAUGAUGACCUCUGGGUGUCCCUUAAAGCUGCAGGAUAUCCUCAGGCCAAGCACCUGAUACACAGCUUACAGAGCUUUCAACAAAAGCCAAGAAAAUUCCUACCAAGGAUGAUGGCAAACCAGUGUCUGUGUCCACAGAGUGGCAGCUAGGACUACUUUCAUCCCUCUGCACUGGAAAUGCAGACAUACCUCCAAAAACAGAGCAGGCCAGACCAGGGGAGCCGGGACCAGAUGAACACAGCUCUCUAGCAAUGAGUUGCUCCCCCUAGCCCCAAAUCAUUAGCCAUCAAUGAUUUUCUGUGGAUCUGUAAGGGAUCUGAUUUUAAUUGCAUUUCUUUCUUUGGUUCGUCUCCAUUCUCAUGGCUCCCUCCAGAAAACUGGGAGAGGAGGGGGCCUUGUGGGCCUGGCCAGCAUGGGGGAGGCCUGCAAUCAAGUGUGAAGCCCAGAGCUGCAGGCUUCAAACGGAUGUGAUGUGGGGGGUUCUUAGAAACUGUCAUCAUGUGGGCUGUAGGAGCGUCUCACCUUAAUGACUGAGAAGCCGAGAGAAAGGAAGAAGGGCAGGUACCAAAUGAAGGGCGGAUGUGUACCAUCAGGCGAAUUCAGAUGAAGAUACAAACAGAUAAGCACACAGGAUUUAGUAAAGGUUGCUGGCUUGGCCCAAGCCUGACCACAUCUGGUUGCCUUCAACAACUCCCCACUCCACCCCACUCAAUGAAGUCACGAAAUUGAGCUCAGUGUGUGAAAGUCCCUGUCCUCAGGGACUCUGCAGGUCAGGCUCCUCAUUACACACUGAUGCCACAGACAUUGGCCCCCAUUCACAAAGCCCAGUACUCCCCCAGCCCCACCCAGAGAGACUCUGACAACCCCCCCAACUCUCCGGGUUGAGCAAAAGAGCAAAGCCAGGGGGUUCCAUGGACCCAAGAGCCAAGCAGAGAGUGCCAGACGAAAUCUGCUCUCCCAAGGAGGCUUGUGCCUUUAAAUUGUUUCUUGAAUGGCUGGCUCAGAGGCAGAAAUAUUUGGCAGCCCUGAAAUUAAAAGUGAUAAAUUUCCUUGCCAAGCUUUGAUCGAUAAUAGGGGCCUCAUCUGUUAAUCAAUAAGACAGCCUCUGCCUGUUUACUGUGCAUAUGUUGCUCGCUGCCACCUUCAGUAUGAUGUCAGGCUUGGAUUCAAAGCAACUCAAGUGAGUAUAACCCACGUGGCUAUUCCCAAAAUGCAUUAGAGGGACAUCAUUCAGCCUCCAAUAUAUUUAUAAAGCAUCAGUGGAGGGGUGGAAGAAGAGAGGAGGUCAUGCCAGCUGAGCACGACAGGUGCACAUGGACCUAGCAGAAACAUUUACCCCACAGAAUUUCCUGGGGCUCAUCCUGGAGCAGGGAGAACCCCAGUGACAUGGCCCACAGACUAUGAUCACCACAUCUUUCCUGCACGCAGCGGCUGGGUUUUGGAUGGCCACUAACUGUCUGCCAGGAGGCAGAUCACAGUAUAUAAAUAAAAGAGACAAAAUAUCUGCCCUCAUGAGGCUUACAUUUGAGAGGGGAAGGAAGAUUUUUUUUUAAGUAGGUUAAUAUAAAACAGGCCAGGUGGUGAUAAGUGAUAAGAAAAGAUAAAUUGGGGCCGGGGAUUUAGCUUAGUGGUUUCGCCGCCUGCUGCACAAGCACAAGGACCUGAGUUCCAUCCCCGGUACCAAAAAAAAAAAGAAGAGAUAAAUUGCAUAAAGACAGAGCACCUGAAGCUGCCAGCAUCUGGGCAGAGAGCUGGAGGAAAGUGGGCAGUAAGAAGCAAGGCCACGAUCUGGGACUGGCCACUCCAGGCAAAGUGAGAGUGAAGAGGCCAGUCGGAUGGAACGGAGUUGGUGAGAGGAAGGUAGGGAGAUAGGGUCUAGAAAGGGAUAGAUGGUGGAAAGGAAAUUAAAGAGCAGGGGCCAAAUGGCAAGGAGAUAAAGUGAGCUGGCCCCAUGCUAUCCUUACUAUCAAUCACACAGUCCAGUGAACAAGGAAGACAAGCACAGCAUCUACAGCUGGGAGAAUUGGGCCCCGUACACUGCUCACUGCUCAAACUGGGGAUGGACCAUAGCUAUCUGUUCUACCAAGGCUGCUGUGAGGCAGGUAGGAGAUAAAUAAACAUUAAUAAGUAUAAAACUUCUCGUUAAUCAUAAAGCACUCUGCAGAUGUAAGAGAUCAUGGAUGGUAUUUAUACCUCAGGAGGCAGUGGAACGUGGAUUAGGAUUUGGGUUAGACAGAGGAAAGUUCAAAUCCCAGUAGAGCUAGUCACCAGUUGUGACCCUCACCCAGUCACCUGAUUUCAGUAUGUUGACUCAUCUGUAAAAUGGAAACAGCAAGAGUAGGUCCCUCAGAGGGCCCCGACAAGGUGAGUGAAGUGCUCAGCCCUAUACAGAGGGAAGAUAUACAGAAUCAGUAAAUAGCAGCUACCAUCACUGCUAGUCAUUAUUCCUUCAAAGAAGAGUUCCUUUUGUGCAAUUGAAGUAUGACUGAUUUUACUGAAAUUCAAUGCACUUUUUGGGGUCCAUUUGUUUUGUAUAAAGUGAGUGUCACAGUUGUAAAGACAUAUUUCACAACGUGCACGCACACACACAUCCAUACAGCCCUGACCCUCUAAUUUAGAAGUGAUUGUUUUGUGGACAGGAGCAGAAAAGUCUGUCAUAGAACCAGUAAGACAGCACCAGCAGCUAUUCACCAGCCCAGCUCUUAAAUCUUUCCCCAGACAAGCCCCAGGAGCCCCAUUCAACAGUCCCAGGCCAGGCUGUGCUUUGUGCCUUUGACUGUAAGCUCUGUGAAAGCAGGCUCUCAUCUCCCCUGUGCUCUGCAAGUCCCUAGAGCCUCCCCUCCUGGCAUGCAGCUUGUGCUCACUAAAUGCUUGUUCAAGAAGCCCUUAGGCAGGCAGCUGAGAAGGGGGCAGUGGCCAUGCAGGGCACUGCCAAGCUGUCCCCUAGGGGGUGGCAGAGUCCUUAUUCUACAUACUCUGACUUUUCUGCUGCCACUUUUUGAAAACUCUAAGACAUAGUCCUUAAGCCAGUCCUCUGGCUGGAACUCAGGAAGCUCGAGGGAGAAGAAAGGAAAGGUUAGAAAGUGAGGCUGUCUGCUUCCUCUGGAAUAAGACCUCCGCCCCACUACCCAGUGCUCUCCCCUCCUUCCAGUACAUGCAGUGAGCUUUCUGUCCCCAAGCAGAUCUCAGGAGACCAGGGUGGACCCUCUACUGGCUGGCAGUGAUGUGCUGGGAGUGACUCUCCCCCAGCCUUGUCACUAAGUCCAUCCAGGAGUCAUUGAGCCCAGUUGUUAAAAGAAACAGACAGACAGACACCCUCAGCACUCUUCGGCUCCUAAAUAUCCAGAGCACAACACUGGGGAGGGGUGUGAUCAUUUUAGGUUUUCCAGACUUCUAUUUUUCUCCCUCUUUUUCCUUGACUUCUUAGUGCCUCCAAAAGGUUAAAGAGGGACUAGAGGACAGAGGAAAGUACAAAGCAGGUAAAAGUUUGGUGAAGAGACAGAGAUACUGAGACUAGAGUUGGUCUGAGGGCUCUGAGUGGGGGCUAAGGACCACCCCAACUCACAGGAACCAAAGGAAGAGUCUGCAAGGCUUUUGUAAAACAUAAAGCUUUAGCUAAAUCCCAGGAUUCCAAUGACAACAGAGUUGAAAUCCAGUAGAAGCUCCUAGCCUGGGCCCCCUCUUCUGGCCUCUCCCUCUUGGCAAAGAAUGGAGCCUCUCUCCCUACUUGCCUUCCUGACCAGAAAUGAGGCUGGGGGUCCCAAGCAUCUAGGAAGGGAAGAGAAGAUACAGAAUGCAGUCAGACAUGGGAUGGUGCCUCUCUGAAGGAAGGAAAGCAGAAGCCAAUAAGGGAAGAAAAUAAUUCAAAAUCCCUCCCUCCUCAAAGCCCUCCCCACCCUACAGCCUAAUAAUAAAUUUUUUAAAAGGAAUCACUGGGGGAAAAAAAAACAUGCAGUAUUUGCCAGCAUCUAGUGUUGAGUGGUGUGUCCCUCUUUUUUUUUAAUUCCUUGAGAUUUUAAAAUAAACAUCUUGAAUGUUCUGAUGAGAUAUGCAUGCCUGCUUACAUAAGGAAGUACAGAGUGUACCAAAACAGCAGACCCAAAAAAAGCAUAAGCUGUCAGAACAAUGAGUACAGACGCAGGGCAUUUUACAACAGGCCAUGGUGUACAGUUUUAUUUACAGUACCUCUUAUCAGACAGAGAACAGCACACUGGCUGCCAAUUCCAAAGGCUAGCACUGCGUGUUCCUUCCCUCAAGGAGCUGUGUACUCCAGGAGAGGAGGCAGGCAGGCUUGUGUUCAUGCUCUCUCUCCCUUAUCAACAAAAUGAAAAACAUACAGAACCAGUUUCUGUGAGAAACGCAGAUUCAGGAAAGAGGAAAAGGGGCUGUAGGUAGUAGAUGCCACUGAAUGGAAACCCACCAACCUUGUGGACUGGCCCUGGGGGCUGGCCCAGGAUAGGGCUCAAGGAGAGCUGAGGCUGAGUUUACAGUGGGGAAAUGCCUCCCUGCAAGAUGGGAGAUGAAUGAAGCAAGGUGCAGGGUCCCCAAUCAAAGUUAGAGUGGAGAAAGCCACAAACAAGGGAGUCACUUGGUAGAGCCCAACUGGUUUCCUGAUCUCUGGAAGUCAACUUCCCACUGCUGAGCUGGUAAAUGGCUGAUACCUCCUCAGAAAAGAUGUGCACUCUGACAAGUCUUCAUUCAGCAGACUUUCUCUGGAGCAUGGAAGGUUUAAAAAGAGCCAGAGACAUGAAAGUGAGGACCAUCAGCUGUGAUUUUGAGACAUAUCCUCAAACCCUGGACACUAACAAUCCUCUUCCUCCUCGGUCCCAUUUGAGGAUUCUCAGGUUCUAGGAGUUCUGCAAAGGCUGCCCUGCAAUGAGGAGUGAUAAUGCUGCUGCUGCUGCUGCUGCUGCUGCAGGCACAACAAAAAUAAUAGCCACUAGUUGGAUAUGUUGGCCAAUCCCAGCAUUGUGGAAGGCGGAGGCAGGAAGAUCACAAGUUCAAGCCUAGCCUGAACAACUUAGCAAGACCCUAUCUCAAAAAUAAAAAAUAAAAAAGGGCUGAGGAUGCAGUUCAUUGAGAAGGCCCUGGGUUAAAUCCCCAGAUAUAUAUAUCACUAUAACAUGUACUACUACCUAUUUAUUACUUUACAUGCACUAUACUACUGAGUCCUCCAACAACUUUAAGAUUAUCCCCAUUUUAUAGAUGUAAAAUCUGAGGUUGAAAAAAGCUUAGUUCAUUUACCCAAGGUCUCAGUGCUAGUAAGGAUCAGAGAAAAUGAAACUAAUUUAAAUCAAAGCGGCAGCAUGAAAAGCCGAGCUAUCCAGAAGGGCCUCUGACCAUAUAUGUUAAAGUGUGACAAGUUCCUAUUAAGGAGGAUAGACACAGGUCUCAAGGGCAGUAAGCCCAAAUCUCCUGCUCUUCUCCACAUUGCAGCUCACCUCUUGGAGUCUGGAGAUUUACCUCCCACCUCCAAGCUUCAAGCCUGCCCUCCUCAUUUCAUCUUCUCUUCUCUGAGCUCUUGGCCCAUGAGAAACAACAUCAUCUCCUGAUCUAGGGAGGUAGCACCACUGUCGGAGAGAGAGCCUAGACAGGUAGCAACAGCACCAGGCUCUACACUGGUUCUGCUGGGGACUCCAGCGUACCUCUCUGAUCAGAUUUUCUUAAAAGGCCUAAGUUUCUCCAUUUGCAAAAUGGACAUCACAUUCCUAGCCCCUCCCUGCCACUUAAAGCUGUAAUAGAAGAAUGAGCUCAAAGACAUGAAAAUGUAUGGGGCUUUAUACAGUAAAAUGUACAACCAAUUUUCAGGACUGAUGACAAAACUCCAAUUCGGCAUAUCCUUCAAGGCCUGAUUCUCCUCUCCAGUGCUCUCCUUCUGAGCUGUAAGAAAGCAAGAUGUUCUAUCAUAAAGAAACAAUCAGUUGCAUUCACUGAAAGUAGAAAAAUGGGGGACUCUCACAUUGAUGAAUGACAGCACACUGAAAACCGAAACAGACAAAGUUUCUUGUUUAACCUUCAAUUAACUAAGAAGUCCUUUUAUUACACCUUCCCUGAGCAUCCUGGUUACUCAAAGCUUUGUGGAAAGUAUCCUUGCUCUUGGCUCUAAGGGUCUCUUCCUUCUAUAACUUUCUCUCUGUGCCUCUGAAAACCUUCCCUUUACUUGCUGCCCAAACUGGGGCCCUUUUCCCAGAACAGAGGGGGCUGAACAUAUACAGUUUAGGCCCACCUAUCCAUCCCAAUCUCUGGAGUUGUCAGUUACUUUGAAUCUAUUCACACCCACACAUACACACCGCUAUUAGGAGCAACUGAUCUUUUGUUUCCAUUAUACUUCUACUGUUGAUAACAGCUGGAGCAAAGACUACAUCACCUGACUUGCCCAUGACCAGACUCCACUGCAUCAUCUCAGACCUGGUGCCCAGGGCACUGCCACCCCUCUCCCCCUUCCCCAGUGGCACCUUGAGGUUGCCAGCCUCUCCAGGCCUGCUGUGGCUUUCAGAAAACAGAGCAUGUCUAUUUUUAGCUCUUCUCAGCCUAAUAAUACUCCCCAACACCCAUUCAGCUUAAUCACUUUAUUGAGGACAAGAAGCAGGCUCUCCAGCUCGGGUGCUUCUGAUGUUAGGAAGUAGUAAAAUGUUCAAACUGGUUAAAAAUGACACUCACUGGCUUGCCUUUGGUGUUUCUGAAACCUUAAUUGUGGCUCAGGCUGUGGAUCUAAAGAACCUUGCAGGUUUCACAAUCUGGCUGUCUUACCCCCUGCACCAUAAUUGAGGUGUUACAUUACAAUUCCAACACUGACAUUUUCAGGCUCAAAAUUCAGAAGCCUGAAGGUGCCACACUUUUUGAAACAAAAAUAUUGCCUGUCACAAUUAAUGCCCAUCUCACCACCAACACAAAGGAAAACAGUCUUCUUUUCCAGCUUACCCCGUGCUAAAGGUUCAGGUGGGAUAAUAUCCCAUGUGAAGCCCACGGCAUUCUGAAAGUGCUUCUGACAACUAAAAUGACACGGAACUGCUGCUUGAAAACAGAAUGGUUUGUUUGGUGUAAUUAAAGGACCUGCAAAUUUGAUGUGUGCAGAAAACAGACCACUGGCAGUGCUUAUGCACACACCUUGGCGACCAUGACUUUCAGAGCUCCAGCGUGUGCAUGUGCAGGCUAACAGUCUGUAGCACAGGAACUGUGGGCUGGGAGAAGUGGGCAGUGUGCAAAGGGGACAGAGACAACUUUUCCUCCGAGGUUCAGACCAGGGGGUUUAGGGUCAGGCCUCUAGAAGUGCAGCAACUCUGCUUCUUAGUUGCUGAGUGAUCUCGAGCAAGUAAACAGUUUCCUCAUCUGUAAAAUGGAUGCGCUAAUAGUACAAACUUCAAACAGGCCUUUGGAGGCUCCAAUGAGAUACUACACUCAAGUGCCUGGCAUCUAUAGACCCUUGGCAAAUGUUAGCUGGCACUGGCAUUGGCAUUGUGGGUCUUUCUACCCCAGGGUCCUUCUAAGAUAAAGUGUUCAGUCUUUGUCUCUUCAGCUCUGGCCAGGGAAAAUGUAAGAAUUUGAGCAGAAUGGCUAACCACAGCCAGCUGUGUACAAUCUCGGGAUAUCUUUAGAUGUGUAGCAGGACGUGCCUAUAAACUUACAGUGCCUAGACAGAGCCUGUCCCAAUGCAGGCAUUUUGAGGGGUGACUUCUGAGGUCCCUCCAACUAAGCAAGCAAUGCCCCUGUCCUAGGCCUGAAAACUCAAACAAAUGAGGCUCAUUUGUACUCCUGGGCUGCAGCCCUUGCACAUCCCUUUCCUCUCUUUCCUUCUCAGGCAAAGUGCUUGAAGCACCUUCACAGACUUCCCGCUCUUUGAAAGGCAGAAGCAGGAUGCUUCAUUAACUUUCCUAGCUAAUUUUACAAUUUAACCAAACACCACAUUCCUGCCUCAAUUCAGCCAGCCUCGGACUGUGAUAAACUUCUAAUUGUGAAAUGGAGGAAUAAUUCAGUCCAAGACAGAGAUGAAAUAUAAAGGUCUGAAAACUACAGUGGGAGUUGAAGAAGAGGAUAAAGUAAAAAGCUCACACUUUAAAAAACAGCUCUGCAUAUGCCCCCCAGAACAGAAUUCUAGGCUGUAAGGGCUGAGAAGUGAAAGAAAAAAGCUAGGGUGGUCACUGGUGUCACAAAGAUGGGGUGCAGUGACUCCUAUCACCUCAGGGACCAGGGACUACUCACAUAUUGGAACCACAGUUCCGCACAGUCCUCUAGAGUGCAUAAUUCAGCGCUGGCAAGAACAGAGUUGAGGCAGGGCCACCCAGAAUUACAUUCAUCUUUGCCAUGUUCCACGGCCCCUUCCAAAAGGUACUGGAAGGCUCUUCCCA